GUUGGAGAAGCCAUAUUUAACUUAUUAUCAGAGAAUAUGAAGUCGAUCUUCUGUUCAUACAUUUUCGUUGUAUAUUUUAUAGUUAUGGAAGGAAAAGAGGAUAAUUGUCCUGAUAUAAUGAUAUUUAAAAGUAUUUAUU